rnacentral:pre_miRNA from 1 species
AAUAAGUGCAGCCGUGGAUAUCCGUGCCCAACAUUUGACCGUCCGUCUUAUUUGAAAAAUUUGAAAAUAUUUAGUCACACAUAAAGUACUAUUUAUGUUUUAUCAUCUAAUAGCAAUAAAAAUACUAAUCAUAAAAAAAUUUCAAAUAAGACGAACGGUCAAACGUUGAACGUGAAUAGUGCAAAACUGCAUUUAUU